rnacentral:rRNA from 1 species
GGUCAAGUGACUAAGCGUAUACGGUGGAUGCCUUGGCAAUCAGAGGCGAUGAAGGACGUGGUAAUCUGCGAAAAGCGUGGGGGAGCUGAUAAACGAGCUUUGAUCCCGCGAUGUCCGAAUGGGGAAACCCACCCAGUGUAAGCUGGGUAUCUUAGACUGAAUACAUAGGUCUAAGAGGCGAACCCGGGGAACUGAAACAUCUAAGUACCCGGAGGAAAAGAAAUCAACCGAGAUUCCCUAAGUAGUGGCGAGCGAACGGGGAACAGCCCUUAAGCUGUGUGAAUGUUAGUGGAAGGACCUGGAAAGGUCCGCCGUAGUGGGUGAUAGCCCCGUACACGAAAACUGAUCACAGUGAAAUCGAGUAGGUCGGGACACGAGAAAUCCUGACUGAAUAUGGGGGGACCAUCCUCCAAGGCUAAAUACUCCUGAUUGACCGAUAGUGAACAAGUACCGUGAGGGAAAGGCGAAAAGAACCCCUGUGAGGGGAGUGAAAUAGAUCCUGAAACCGUAUACGUACAAGCAGUGGGAGCCCCAUCACAAAGCGACUUUGCGGAGUCCUUUGGUGUGAUGGCUAAAGGAAACAUUGGCGAAGCGCAGCUUCGCGAAUGCAACCGGCAAAGCAGGCAGUGAGGCCGCUUUGUGAUGGGGUGACUGCGUACCUUUUGUAUAAUGGGUCAGCGACUUACAUUUUGUAGCAAGGUUAACCGAAUAGGGGAGCCGUAGGGAAACCGAGUCUUAACUGGGCGUCUAGUUGCAAGGUGUAGACCCGAAACCGAGUGAUCUAGCCAUGGGCAGGUUGAAGAUUGAGUAACAUCAAUUGGAGGACCGAACCGACUACCGUUGAAAAGUUAGCGGAUGACCUGUGGCUGGGGGUGAAAGGCCAAUCAAACUCGGAGAUAGCUGGUUCUCCUCGAAAACUAUUUAGGUAGUGCCUCGGACGAAUACCACUGGGGGUAGAGCACUGUUUGGGCUAGGGGGUCAUCCCGACUUACCAACCCCAUGCAAACUCCGAAUACCAGUGAGUACUAUCCGGGAGACACACGGCGGGUGCUAACGUCCGUCGUGAAAAGGGAAACAACCCAGACCGUCAGCUAAGGUCCCAAAGUUUUGGUUAAGUGGGAAACGAUGUGGGAAGGCUCAGACAGCUAGGAGGUUGGCUUAGAAGCAGCCACCCUUUAAAGAAAGCGUAAUAGCUCACUAGUCGAGUCGGCCUGCGCGGAAGAUAUAACGGGGCUCAAACCAAACACCGAAGCUACGGACUUGUGUAUUUAUACAUGAGUGGUAGAGGAGCGUUGUGUAAGCCGUUGAAGGUGAGUUGAGAAGCUUGCUGGAGGUAUCACAAGUGCGAAUGCUGACAUGAGUAACGAUAAUGCGAGUGAAAAACUCGCACGCCGAAAGAUCAAGGUUUCCUGUUCAACGUUAAUCGGAGCAGGGUGAGUCGGCCCCUAAGGCGAGGCUGAAGAGCGUAGUCGAUGGGAAACAGGUUAAUAUUCCUGUACUUCAAUACAGUGCGAAGGGGGGACGGAGAAGGCUAGGUGAUCCGGGCGUUGGUAGUCCCGGUUUAAGCGUGUAGGCUGAGUGUUUAGGAAAAUCCGGACACUCACUAAGGCUGAGGCGUAAUGACGGUGAUCCCACGGGAUCCGAAGUCACUGAUGCCAUGCUUCCAGGAAAAGCCUCUAAGCUCCAGCUGUAUUGGAACCGUACUCCAAACCGACACAGGUGAUCAGGUAGAGAAUACCAAGGCGCUUGAGAGAACUCGGGUGAAGGAACUAGGCAAAAUGGUGCCGUAACUUCGGGAGAAGGCACGCCCAGGCUGGUGAUGAGACUUGCUCUCUGAGCUGACUUGGGCCGAAGAUACCAGGCCCCUGCGACUGUUUACUUAAAACACAGCACUCUGCAAACACGAAAGUGGACGUAUAGGGUGUGACACCUGCCCGGUGCCGGAAGGUUAAUUGAUGGGGUUAGCGUAAGCGAAGCUCUUGAUCGAAGCCCCGGUAAACGGCGGCCGUAACUAUAACGGUCCUAAGGUAGCGAAAUUCCUUGUCGGGUAAGUUCCGACCUGCACGAAUGGUGUAACGAUGGGGGCGCUGUCUCCACCCGAGACUCAGUGAAAUUGAAAUCGCGGUUAAGAUGCCGUGUAUCCGCGGCUAGACGGAAAGACCCCGUGAACCUUUACUAUAGCUUCACACUGGACUUUGAUGUUAUUUGUGUAGGAUAGGUGGGAGGCUUUGAAGCUGUGACGCUAGUUGCAGUGGAGCCAACCUUGAAAUACCACCCUGAUAACAUUGAGGUUCUAACGUCGGCCUCGAAACGAGGUUACGGACCGUGUGUGGUGGGUAGUUUGACUGGGGCGGUCUCCUCCUAAAGAGUAACGGAGGAGUACGAAGGUGCGCUAAGCAUGGUCGGAAAUCAUGCGGUUAGUAUAAUGGCAUAAGCGCGCUUGACUGCGAGACGGACAGGUCGAGCAGGUACGAAAGUAGGUCAUAGUGAUCCGGUGGUUCUGUAUGGAAGGGCCAUCGCUCAACGGAUAAAAGGUACUCCGGGGAUAACAGGCUGAUACCGCCCAAGAGUUCACAUCGACGGCGGUGUUUGGCACCUCGAUGUCGGCUCAUCACAUCCUGGGGCUGAAGCCGGUCCCAAGGGUAUGGCUGUUCGCCAUUUAAAGUGGUACGCGAGCUGGGUUUAGAACGUCGUGAGACAGUUCGGUCCCUAUCUGCCGUGGACGUUGGAAAAUUGAGAAGAGCUGCUCCUAGUACGAGAGGACCGGAGUGGACGAACCUCUGGUGUUCGGGUUGUCAUGCCAAUGGCAUUGCCCGGUAGCUAAGUUCGGACGGGAUAACCGCUGAAAGCAUCUAAGCGGGAAGCCCCCUUCAAGAUAAGUUUUCCCCGAGGCUUUAAGCCUCCUGAAGGGCCCAGUAAGACUAACUGGUUGAUAGGCAGGGUGUGUAAGCGUUGUGAGGCGUUGAGCUAACCUGUACUAAUUGCCCGUGCGGCUUGGCCAU